rnacentral:lncRNA from 1 species
AAAUACAAAUACACUAAAAUUAAUGGUUUGAGUAGAGUAGUAUAUAUAUAGAUAGAUCUCAUCUAUCUAAGAAGUUUGCACCUUGUUCUCAAAUAAUAUGACAUCACAUCACCAUGUCAAUUGUCAUGUUAGGGAAGGGGAGAUUAGGGGCUAUGGCAGCCACCCAACCAACCAGUGGAUGCACAGGUAAAUAUCCUUGUAAUUUUUAAUUUAUUUUUUAAAUUCUUUAGAAUUCAUUUUGUGUAAUUAAAUAUUAUUUCUUUAUGAUGAUUUAUUUUAACCAUGCUUUACUUUAUGAUGAUUUAUUUAUUUUAAGGAUUAUGUGGUAUGAUUGAUUGAGUGGAAUUAAACCUUGGACAAAAUCAAGAUAUUGUUUUAUUUCAUUUUCUGCUGAAUUGUUUGUUUUUACAUGGUACCGUCUCUCACAUACACAGUCCAAAGAAUAAGAUGCUGCAACGCCUUUAACUGUGCAAUUCACAGGGUUUGCUUGGCAUGGACUUCUGGUAUAAAAUUUUGAUUUUAAUUUAUAUGCUUUAUAUUGUCAGUUAAUCACAACAAUCUUUGGAGCAUAAAAUGUGGAUUUUGAGUUUGAAACUCUGACCACUUGCUCAACAUUUGUCUUUUAUUCUUAAUAUUUCCACAACUAUUUUACAUUCACAAUUAAUCGUCGUCAUGAGAUCGUAUAAAAUAUUUAAUUUUAAUCAAAGCUUUCUCAAAAAUCAUGCAAAAUAAUUUGUGAUUAUUAUCGAUGUAGUUUUUUUUAAUCAUAAAGCACAAAAACUAAAUUCUUAUUAUUUCACUUUUUAUCAAUUAAAAAACAAACUAUUUACAAGAGAUAUUUAGAUCAACAACAAUUGAUAUAUUUGGUUCAAAAUUUAGACUACAUAAAUCAUCUUUUUUUUUUUUUGAGGGAAUAAAAAAAAUCAUCUUUUGUAGACCCAAUAGUUUCUUAUAAAUAUGAUUGGAGGGUACUGAAUUAUUUUUUUGGUCAAAUACUGUGGUACUAUAUGAGUAGCACAUAAUUCAGUAUCCAGUGUAUAUUAUUCUUUGAAGUUAUUUUAAUUGGAAAAUGAUGGUGACCCAAGGCCACUGGCUUAUGUCGGUAUCGUUUAUUAAAAAUAUUCUUAGGAGGCCUCAAAAGUCACUAGCUUUUGGCCAGUCUUAAAUUGGUUUAUGGUUAAGAUGAUGAGAACGUCCGAAAAAUACAUGUCGGGAAGAAAAUGGCUAUCAUUAAAUUUACGUAAAUAAAAUAAAAUUAAUAUCGGCUUAUACAUUUACAGAGCCAAAUGCUGCUAAAUCUUAAUAACUUUAUUAGACUUUUGAUUAAUGUCCCAAAGGGAAAAGAAAACCACAAAAAACUAUGUUUGUUUUCUUUUGUUUUGUCUUUUGGUCCCUACUUUUGUUGUUCUCCUCGUUUUAACAAAAUUACAGCUUUAGUGUAACUGAGAGAUUUCCCCUGUAGAAGAGGGGAUGGGUUAGUGCUUGCUCCUUAUGUAGAAGAAACAAUACUUGUUGUCCUAUGAUCUUCAUUUUUUGUAUAUAUAAUACUUCCUAAUUCAUGAAUUUUCGGCAAUUUGGAGCUUUACACAUGCAGGGGACUUUGAAUUCAUCUGGCUCAUCAGGAUCAAACAAGUAGUCAUAACUGCGAAUAACAAAAUAACAUCAACUACAAUAUCAAAAUGCAAGUGCACAC